rnacentral:lncRNA from 1 species
UAAAAACGAAACUUGAGAUAUUUAGGAGGACCACAAACAUGUUUAACCCUAUUAUUUUUGUGUGAACAUGGGGGUAUCCAUGUUUAGUCGUAAAGUUUAGAACUUGAUUUAUUUCACUAUAAUUAAAUGUCUUGUUAUAUGCACACUAAGACAUUUUUUUUAAAACCUAGAAUCCCUUAGGACUUGAUUUAUUUCACUAUAAUUAAAUGUCUUGUUAUAUGCACACUAAGACAUUUUUUUUUAAAC